AGUGAACGCUGGCGGCAUGCCUAACACAUGCAAGUCGAACGGUAACAGGCCCGCAAGGGUGCUGACGAGUGGCGGACGGGUGAGGAAUACAUCGGAAUUUGCCCAGUCGUGGGGGAUAACGUAGGGAAACUUACGCUAAUACCGCAUACGACCUAACGGUGAAAGCGGGGGACCUGCAAGGGCCUCGCGCGGAUGGAUAAGCCGAUGUCGGAUUAGCUAGUUGGCGGGGUAAGAGCCCACCAAGGCGACGAUCCGUAGCUGGUCUGAGAGGAUGAUCAGCCACACUGGGACUGAGACACGGCCCAGACUCCUACGGGAGGCAGCAGUGGGGAAUAUUGGACAAUGGGGGCAACCCUGAUCCAGCAAUGCCGCGUGUGUGAAGAAGGCCU
rnacentral:rRNA from 1 species